CCCUCCCAGUAACCAGGGCGCUUGAGGGGAUCCCUCGCACGCACCAGUCCUCCCAGUACUGAGCGUCGCUGAGGUGGGCGGCACCCCCGUCCUCCCAGUCACAAAGGCCUUAAAGAAUGCUGGCUCCCCAGCGCUCCCAGUAACGAGGGCCUCUUGACAUUUAGCAAAGUUUCCAUGAGCCACUUCCAUAGGAAAACAGACUGGGAAAAGUACUGAAAUUGAAGUUUUGAUAAACUAAGUCUGAUAUGCUUCAGUGAACAAAGUCUGGGAGAGAAGAACAUUUUGGUGAGGUUGGACAUCUGGAAUGUUGAAUUUAUGAACCACAAGGACAUUUUGCAAAAACCUGAAGAUAAAGAAGAGGCGAACAAAGACUCCAUCUAUGUGUUAAAAGUUCCUACUUUUAGCCAAAGACUAAAAAGAUGGGCUAAUUAAAAUAAGAAGUGAGAAAUCAGUAACUGGUAGAGGAUAGAAUAAUAUUAAAUGAAAGAAAAUUAUAAGAGAAUUUCGAAUUUA